GAGCCCGGCUCUGAUGGCACUCCCAGUCUCUGGCUGGAGACCCUCCCCGGAGGCUACCUUCCGUGGGCCUGGACCACAGGAUGCAGAUUGAUGAGCAUUUGGUUCCAAACAGUGCCUGCAGAUCUAUGUGAAUGAUGAAGCAACAUCUUAUAUACAAACAACAAGGGUUUACUGAGCCCCUCACACGUGCCAACCCUGCCAGAGACCACCAUGCUCAACCUGCAUUUGCGAUUCCUUUUCAAUACAUGUGCUUGGAAUUCAAAGGAAACAGACUCGGCAGGGGAUUGAUUUCUUGCCUUUUGAAAACUGGAUAUGAAGAGGAGAGGAGAAGAGAUCCUGGAGUGUCUGACUGAGCAAGCUGGGCAAGAAUCUCACAGGCUAGACAUAGCCAAAGACAAACGGCCACAGAGAAGUGCUCUUCCCCAAGGCCCCUUCCUCUGCCUGCAGGGAGCAGAGCCAGAAGCAAAAAUACCUGGGUAUCAGCAGGACACCUACUUUGACCUUCAUGUUAGCCAAAAGAAUCCAAAUCUAUGUUUUAUCACAUGCCUGUCCUCUGGAGAGGGACUUAACCAUAUUCAGAGCUGGUUUCCUCAUCUCUGAAAGGGGAAAACUAAUCAUUCCUCCCUCGGGGUGGUUGUGAGAAUAACAUGGAAGAGUGCAUACGUAAUUCUUGGCACCUCCUGUGGGCUCCAUGGAUGGCGUAUAUUAAUAUCAUGGUGAUUAACAUGGCCUGUUGAAGCUCAAGUUGUGAGCUGUGCUUCUGCUUGGAUUGUGCACUGAGGAUCAUUCCAGAUGUCAGGUUGACAGGUGCGCCCUGGGUGAGCCAAGGUGGAUGCAAGAGGCUGGAGUAUCUCUGUACUAAACUGGCUGUCAUCUGUCCCUGGGGGGAUCAGGAAGUGCUGGUCACUUUGCAGUAGCAUUUUGGGCUUGGGAAGUCCAUGGAAUGUGCAGAAAGCAGCCUGGGUCAGACUUGGUGCUCUCAGGGGUCAUGAGGCCAUGCUGAGGUAACAGAGUGGUUUGUCUUACCAGAUGUUAAGUGGUGCUUUCCCAUGGCAUCAGAACCAGCAACUAUACCACAGACAACAGUAAAGGGUUUAAAGAGAGCUGCAGGUAAAUGGGUGUCAGGGAACCACGAAGUCCGCCAAGAGGUAACCAAUCGAUUCUGCUGCCUCUUUACCCCUCCCUGAUCCCUGACCUCACAACUCCUUUUCCCCAGCCUGCAUGGAAACAACUGGGAUAGAAGGUAGGGGAGGGGGAAUAACCAAUAGGAAUUCAGGGAUUAUUGGUCCAGUCCUCCCUUCCUCUUCUUGGGGGACGACAGGACAAUGAUGAGAAUUUUCAAGAGUCCCUCAUGAAGAUCUGGAAGGUCUGUGGAAAGGGAAAUCUUUCAUUGUUCAUGAAAGAGAUGCAGUUGUCUUUUAAACCCCAUGUAACCAUGGAUGAGAGAAGAGACUUAGAGCUGGCAGGAGACAGCAAUGCAAGGUCCUGAAUUCCUGUGGCUUGGUGGCAAGGUUAUGUGGUUGCCUGCGGGAACAGUCAUGCUGAGGGUUUUGAACUUGUUUACUGCCCCACAGAGGCGAAAGCUGGGAUGCGUACCCAAGUUAUUGAUGCGCUUUUCCCACCUCGGAAUUUCUUCAACCACUCCAACAUGUGCCAAACAGAGCUUGUCACAUGGGGUGUGAGUGACAAAUCAGUGAACAGAAGACCAAGAUGGCUCUGGAGGGUGAGGGGGCUUCCCCAUGCCCACAUGCAGCAGAGAGGCCAGGUCCAGGGCCAGCAUGUACCAGAGGCCAGAGGUCAUCCUGGAAGGGUGUGCCACAGUGGGGCACCAGCACUUCCUGCCUGCCAGAGCUGAACUUUGGAGGAAGAAGGGAAGCACUUCAUAUGCAACAUCCCAGAGGGAUGCCCAGUCUCUGAAAUCAAGAUAAGCAUGUUGAAACAAAAUCCUAAAACUCAAAGCCAAUGUGAGCUCUCGUGAUGACUAGAGAACGCUGGAGAUUUCCCAUACAUGGGAUGGGUAGCACUGAUGGGGCAAUCCCCUGUGGCACACUCCUUCCUGCUACCAGAGACAGAAGUGUCGUGGACCUGCGGGGGACAUUUAUGUGGCACAACAAAGUGACCAUGACACACGGGGAGAGGGAAAGCCAGCUUAGACUCCACAGCCUGAAUGCCUACCCCACGCCCUUUCCUGCAUUGAAGCCUUCAGGAGACAUAUUGCCAGGGGAAAGAAUGGUUGAAGGAACUGGAGAGAUCAAUGGGGGAAAGUGGACAAGGGUUGAACAACUCCUUGUGGUGCAAAAUGAAAUUUGCUCAUAGUCCUAUGCAAGGGAGAUGUCAGUAGGGCUGCCAGCAGUCUGUUGCUCAGGCAUAGUAUGCUGGGGACUGUGCCUAUGGUCAUGCAGACCCUUCUGAACCUGAACCAGGGAGGAGGGAUCCUGCCUUGGCUAUUAAGUAGGUUACUAUACCACCAUGGGUACAGUCCACUCAAGGUCAUGAUGUCCAUGGACAAAGGUGCUUGCUUGUGUCUUUCUCUCUCCAUCAAUCCUGCCCUUUGAGAGAUGUCAGGCUUCUUUCUUGACAUAUUUCCAGUUGUUUUAAUGAUAAAUCUGGUAGGUGUUAUGUCCCCAGUGCUGAAUCUUUGAACUCAAGGCCGAUAGGCUCCAGGCUAGGAUGGAUGGAUGGAUGGGCUCUUUACACUGACCUCUGCCCUUCAUCCCAAAGCCAGCCUUCUGAAGGCCACUUGAGUAAUUCAUUCCUCUUCUUCCAGGCCUUGAUGUCUGCACCUCCCCCACCUCCGCAUCUACUGACAGAACCUAAAGCAAGAGACAGCCUUCCUUCACCAAGCUGUGAUAAAUUCCCAGCAUAGCAGGUUCCAGGGUGCUGGCCUUGGUGCAGUUGUUUCGAUAAAUGAGCAUUCUCACACAUGACAGACGGCCCCGCAUACUGGACAUACAUUUAACCCGAGUGAACCCAUCCUCUCUCUCUUUAACAACACGAUUUUGCAAGCAAUGCCUUUGGAUGGCACUGUCCUGGGGUGGUAAUUUCUAAUUGAUAAGUGUUGUCAGCAGACGCUAGUAACUCCUCACCUUCUUCUAGACAAUGGAGUCUGUAUCUUGGCUCUGAGCUCCGACAGCACCUGGCCUGCUGAAUAAACAUCACAUCAAAGGUUA